GCAGCUAAGACCGCAUAGGUAGGGACACUGCAUGGUGACCGUAUUAAAAGUGCUGCAAGGCACUGGUAGAGGAUGGACUUAUGGCGCAUUAGCUGGUUGGUGAGGUAACGGCUCACCAAGGCGACGAUGCGUAGCCGACCUGAGAGGGUGACCGGCCACACUGGGACUGAGACACGGCCCAGACUCCUACGGGAGGCAGCAGUAGGGAAUUUUCGGCAAUGGGGGGAACCCUGACCGAGCAACGCCGCGUGAAGGAAGAAGGAAUUCGUUCUGUAAACUUCUGUUAUAAAGGAAGAAAGACGGAUGGAGGAAAUGACAUCCGAGUGACGGUACUUUAUGAGAAAGCCACGGCUAACUACGUGCCAGCAGCCGCGGUAAUACGUAGGUGGCAAGCGUUAUCCGGAAUUAUUGGGCGUAAAGAGGGAGCAGGCGGCAGCAAAGGUCUGUGGUGAAAGACUGAAGCUUAACUUCAGUAAGCCAUAGAAACCGGGCAGCUAGAGUGCAGGAGAGGAUCGUGGAAUUCCAUGUGUAGCGGUGAAAUGCGUAGAUAUAUGGAGGAACACCAGUGGCGAAGGCGACGAUCUGGCCUGCAACUGACGCUCAGUCCCGAAAGCGUGGGGAGCAAAUAGGAUUAGAUACCCUAGUAGUCCACGCCGUAAACGA
rnacentral:rRNA from 1 species